GACGAACGCUGGCGGCGUGCCUAAUACAUGCAAGUUGAGCGAUGAAGAUUGGUGCUUGCACCAAUUUGAAGAGCAGCGAACGGGUGAGUAACGCGUGGGGAAUCUGCCUUUGAGCGGGGGACAACAUUUGGAAACGAAUGCUAAUACCGCAUAACAACUUUAAACAUAAGUUUUAAGUUUGAAAGAUGCAAUUGCAUCACUCAAAGAUGAUCCCGCGUUGUAUUAGCUAGUUGGUGAGGUAAAGGCUCACCAAGGCGAUGAUACAUAGCCGACCUGAGAGGGUGAUCGGCCACAUUGGGACUGGGACACGGCCCAAACUCCUACGGGAGGCAGCCGUAGGGAAUCUUCGGCAAUGGACGAAAGUCUGACCGAGCAACGCCGCGUGAGUGAAGAAGGUUUUCGGAUCGUAAAACUCUGUUGGUAGAGAAGAACGUUGGUGAGAGUGGAAAGCUCAUCAAGUGACGGUAACUACCCAGAAAGGGACGGCUAACUACGUG
rnacentral:rRNA from 1 species